rnacentral:rRNA from 1 species
UACGGGGGGGGCAAGCGUUGUUCGGAAUUACUGGGCGUAAAGGGCUCGUAGGCGGCCAACUAAGUCGGACGUGAAAUCCCCAGGCUCAACCUGGGAACUGCGUCCGAUACUGGAUGGCCUGAAUUCGGGAGAGGGAUGCAGAAUUCCAGGUGUAGCGGUGAAAUGCGUAGAUAUCUGGAGGAAUACCGGUGGCGAAGGCGGCAUCCUGGACCGACAUUGACGCUAAUGAGCGAAAGCUAGGGGAGCAAACGGG